AAGGGACCCGCAGGACCGGGGAGGCGAC
rnacentral:piRNA from 1 species